rnacentral:rRNA from 1 species
AGAUGCUUCGGGUGUGGUUCCGGUCUAAGUUCCUUGGAACAGGACGUCAUAGAGGGUGAGAAUCCCGUAUGUGACUGGAUACCUAUGCUCAUGUGAAGCUCUUUCGACGAGUCGAGUUGUUUGGGAAUGCAGCUCAAAAUGGGAGGUAUAUUUCUUCUAAAGCUAAAUAUUGGCCAGAGACCGAUAGCGCACAAGUAGAGUGAUCGAAAGAUGAAAAGCACUUUGGAAAGAGAGUUAAACAGUACGUGAAAUUGUUGAAAGGGAAGCGCUUGCAAUCAGACUUGCACUUGGUGUUCAUCAGGGUCUCGUACCCUGUGUACUUCAUCAAGUUCAGGCCAGCAUCAGUUUGAGUGGUUAGAUAAAGGCUUAGAGAAUGUGGCCCUCUUCGGGGGGUGUUAUAGCUCUAGGUGCAAUGUAGCCUACUUGGACUGAGGACCGCGCUUCGGCUAGGAUGCUGGCGUAAUGGUUGUAAGCGACCCGUCUUGAA